UUAGCCCUAUCGCAACAAGGCAACAGCAGGAGGCCAGUCAUGUUUUUCGAUAAUGUGGUGUUUGCCGGAGUGCUGACAGUUGGCCUCAUGGUGCUGUUCUUCGUAGGGUUUGGAUUUUUUAUCUGGAGAGACGCGAACAAGCGUAAAAAACCAUAGGUUUUUCCAGGUUACAUGAGCACGCAAGGCAUUUUGGGCGACUUCGGUCGCCCUUUUUUUUG
rnacentral:sRNA from 1 species